GGUGGUGGUGGUGUUCCCCUCUUGUGGAGUUUGUUCUCCUGUGUUUGUAAUUUCCCCUGGAUCCGUUACUGCUGUCUGUGGCCUGUCAGUUGUGUUAGUGGUGAAUUAGGGAAAGCAUGUUUUGCCUCUUGAGAUUCCAACGCGCUUAGUUAUCCUGCUAGUACCUGACUACCUACUUGCCUUGUGUUCCAGAGGAGCUUGGGUCCUGUUUGAUAAGUAUCUUGUUUGCAUCUUGUGGAUACGUUUGAUUAUUACCAUUUUGAUAACUGAUGGUUGUUUUCCAACUGGUCUGCAGGGGAUACUGUGGUGUAAAAUCUAUCAUCGGAUAGGAGGGCUUCCAAGUCGAUAAUAAUGUGCAUAGAUGAGACAGACAGGGCCAUAGGGCGUCGAUGUGUGCGCUCCUGGAAUUUGAAUGUGAAAGUGCACGUAGCAGUGAUGUAAGAUGUGUGAAACCCGGGAGAUUGGUUAAUUUGCAGGGGUUACUGUGGUGUUAAAUUUCACAAAUCUUGAUGUUAAUUUCUGAAUGUAAUAUCCUAAGUAGCUUUCAACCUUAUUUCACAAAUCGUGCACGCUCAACUCGCAAAUUUGGUAAGAUGGAUGGGGAGGGAGCAGGUUGGUUAAUUUGCAUGUAAAAUGCAUCGGCACUUACAAUACAUAGGCCUUGUUUACUUCCACCCAAAAACGUAAAAUUUUUUAAGAUUUCCCGUCACAUCGAAUCUUUAGACACAUGCAUGGAGUAUUAAAUAUAAAUGAAAAUAAAAACUAAUUGUACAGUUUGGUCGAAAUAGACGAGACGAAUCUUUUAAGCCUAGUUAGUCUAUGGUUGGACAAUAAUUACCACAAACAAACGAAAGUGCUACAGUGUCACGAAAAUUUUCGUUUUGGCAAGUAAACAAGGCCAUAUUGGACCUCCCGAAAGCUACCUGUCCAAAAGUGGCCAGAAGUCUACCAAAUUCUGUACUACAGUGCAGGCUUUUGUUAAACUGUAAAUAAUUGAGUUAUUGAUUGACAUGUGAACAAAAGAAACUAUCCUUUUUAGCAUGCAUGAACGCAUAAAUAAAUUAUAAGACAGACUGCUCCUCUCAUACGGAGUAAAACUGAAGGUCAAACUUUCUACUACUUAAACCCAUGGACGGUAAGAUUCUGAGUACAGAAGGAGAAAACCGCAUCAUUCUUCGCUGCACGGACGUAAACUGAUACUUCUCUCACAGAACUGAAAAACACGAACUUCUCACUACAUGAAUUCCCAAUCACGCUCUUCGUCACUUUCCUCCUGAUAAACAACAGUGUUGUGCCCAGCUAAGAAGCUACCACAAUUGGGAUGUAUAAGGUCUUUUGCCCGAAAUUGACACCCUUUGCAGCGAGCUUAAAAAGAGACAAGUGCGUCAGUGAAUGUUCAACACAAAUGAAAAAAAAAAUAACUAUCAGUUUAUUCUGAUUCCCUAGGAGUGGGGUCAUCCCAGGUCUCCAACCUUAUGUCAAGACUGCAUGACAAAAAAAAAUGUAAAAAAUGAAAACUCAGUAGGCCAAAGUCUUUUUCUUUCCGGUCGCGGAACACCAUCCCAACGGUUUUUGACGAAAUAAGGAGGUAUGCCGUCUUGAGAGCUGGACGACGACAUGGCGGGGCGGCCGGCUGCAAUGCGAUGCGGCAACCCCGAUGAAUGAACCGUAAUAAUAAGUAGUAUAAAUUAGCAAGGCAGAUGAGGACAAUACAACCCCGAUCCAGUCGAUUGACGACAACAAUUAACGAUGGGGCAAAACGCGAAUCACCUGGGAGGGACGAUGGCUGCGGUGGAAUCCGCCGCCGGUCUGGUUUCCGCGAGGAAGAGGAACUCAGCGUGUAUAUAUAAGGCAGCCAGAGCGCGGCCCGUUUCGUCUCCGUCUCCGCGACCGAUUCGGUUUAGGCCGGUCCUGUUUCAUUGGACUAAUAUAUAAUAAUAACAAUAACAAUAAUCUAUAUCUAUAUUUAUACCUAAUAAUAUCUAUAUCUAAUAAUAAUAAGGAGGUAAAAUUUCAACCUAAUUUUUCGUCUAGUUAGAUUUUCGUCUGCCCGUGUGUUGCAACGGAAGAAAAAAAAAACUAUCAAAUCUAUAUUUCUACCUCUAUUAUCUAAUAUUUCUCUAAUAUAUAAUUGUGAAAAUUUUAGUUCACCAGAAAUCUAUUUUUUGUUUGUAUCCUUCUAACUACCGAACAAUACAGGAUUUCUUUCGUCUGAACUUAUAUAUAACUCGUACUUAUACGAGUUAUAAAAUAGCUCUUGUCUAAUAUGAUAUAGAGUUUGAUUCUUGUUUUAUAUAGGUCCUAUAUAUGGUAACCUUAAUAGCUAGGAAGAGUCAUAAUCCUAAUAUAAAUAGAUUACUUUAAUCUUUUGAGGAAGCUAAAUAGGAAUUCUAAUUCAAGAGUUCGAUUCCAGAUUUAUAUUGACACUAUUGAUAGAUAAGAAUCCUAAUUCUAAUCCUAAUAUAAAAAGAUUAUUCAUCUUUAAGUAAUCUAAAUAAAAAAGAUAUAAAUUUUUUCUAAAAAUCAGAAAGGCAAAAAAAGUAUUGUUCGUGUCGAACGCCCAGUUAAUAACAGCCAUGCAAUGUGUGCACCACACUCAUCCAUCUCUUUUUUUAAGUAAUCGAAGGGUUUUUUUUGUGAGGGGAUCGUCGUCUAUCUCCAAGUUCAUAGCCCUAAAUUUAGCCCAUGCCUAAAUCAGUCUGGUUCGUUGAUUGGCCCAGCAGGCUUGUAAUCGUUUUGGCCCAAGUGUAGACGACAUGGCGUGGGGCGGCAAGUAAGCCGAAUCAUACCGUUUCUCCCAAGUCAUAUAGGGACACUGGAAGGUGAACAGAAAUAUAGGCAAACUGAAAUUUUCACAAUUUAUUAUUAGAUUGGGUAAUAUAUAUAUAUAUAUAUAUAUAUAUAUAUAUAAAAGCUCGUGUGUUGCAAACGGGAUCCAUAUUUAUUAUAUGAUUCAUUUUUUUAUGCUAAGAAACCAUAGAAGCUAAUAGGUGGAGAUAUCCCAAGAUAGCCGCUGAAUAGGCCAUAUUUUCGCGGCAGCUAAAAUCUUACCAGGCCAAAAAUCUGCCAGCGGCCAACUAAUACGUCCCAACCUACUAAAAAGGUGAAGGAUCGAGAUGGCGGACUAGAUGAGGGUGAAUAGUCCUUUCUAAAAUUUAUUACGCCGGCUAAGCGAAACAAAUACGGAAAUAAAACUAUCGGUCUAGCCAAGACUACACCCAUCUAUCUAAGUUCUCUAGCACCUUGAAAAGAUCCUAAACAAGCAAACAAGGUGCUACCUUAGCAAGAGCUCACCUAACCAAUUUUAAAAGCAAGGUCACACAAACCUAUGCCACUAGUACUUUGCAAAUCGGAGAGCUCCUACACAACUAGUAAGCGAAAGCACAAAGCUCCUAAGCUCACUAGCAAUGUGUCACACCCUGGCUUUUAAAAUAAGACCAGAGUCGUCAUAUGUAUACCCAGAAAGUCCACACAUACAACAAAGAAUAGAAAUAUCAAAAAAAAAUAAUGUUAUAUAUAGCGGAAAACAUAUUUAUAUUAACACUUACAAACAUUAGAAUACGCGGAAACAGUAGCUAAACUUCUUAGGCUCCAUUCUUCUCAGGGACGGUUGACUGGGGGCUCCGUACGCCAAGCACUUCUCAUAAGCUUCUAGAAAACUUCAUGACAUCUUUAUCCUUCUUCUGAGCAGCACUUUACUACACACUAUGGGUGUGGGGGGGGAAUACCAAGGGUGAGUUCAUGUCGAACUCAGCAAGCACAGACGGAAAGUAAUGACAUGCAAGGUUUAAAACAAGGUAAAGCUGACUUGGUUUGACUGCGGUAGCAUUUUAGUUGAUCACUUUUAAUUAUGACUAUUAUUAGAACAACCUACUACUAAUUAUGAAUAGCAUAAAUCCAACUCUUUAUUAGUGUAAGUAGUAAUUAGCAUCUUUUAAAUGACUAUCCUAAUAAUUAUAUUAUUCCAGGGAUUAACCCCAAUUAUUAACAUAGGAUAGCAAUCCUGGCAACACGGAAUAGCCAUUCCGCCAAAACACGAGGUAGCAACCUCGCCAAGUUCCAUCUCCAAGUAUCCAGUGAAUCCAAUUUGCUCAUCAAGUGAGGGUCUGGGCUGCUCGUGACCGUGAGCACGGCUGAUAUAUCAGUUUUACACUCUGCAGAGGUGUGCACGUUCACUCCAAGUCAUGAUUCCCAUUUGCCCGGGGUCAUGACUCCCCAAAACACUGCCAAGGUGAGCAGGCAGGGUCUCACUACGAGACCUUUCACAGGGUCCAACUAAUAGGAUGCCACUCGCAAGUUUUCGCCGGGGCGCUCGACAGUCGAUACCCAUAGCCAUGGCGUACCGAUCAACCGACAACUUAAUAUUCAUUACCCAAGUUACUUCCUCACGCCUACCCGAAAAGUAACACCCUACUAGUGGAGGUCCUGCUAAUUAGUCAAGCCAGAGCCAUAUAGCUUGGAGCUGCACUGUAUGUCCCAGGGGGGCGCUCCCUGACUAAGUCCUUACGGAGAGCAGAGACGGGUACGCCCGGCAAACCGGACCACCAACAGUACCCGCUCCCCCUAUCACCACCAUCAUCACGAUGCUCGUAAGCAUCCAACAUCGUCAUCACCACAGUGACCAAAGAUCCAGCACAGUUUAAGCAUCAAGUUAAGUAGAGAGUAAUUCUUGUUUAAGCAUGUGUAUAAGAUGAGUAGAGCAGCUUAGCAAAUCUGGUAUAGCCUAGUCUACCCAUGAACAUAACCCUAGGUGAACAAGGAGCAGUAAGUAAAGCUAGUCAUGUCCUUAGGGUUUGCAUUCAUUGGACACAUGCAUAUAAAGUAAAUGACAUUAAUGAGUAGGUUCAAAAUGAUCAAACGGUGUCUGCACUUGCCUUAAUUCCCAGUGUAUAUCUGCUCAGAAUUCUUUGGCUUCUUUCUUCUGAUCUCCAACUUCUGCUUCGACUUUCGGUCCUUAGCUCCUGGGUCUUCACUGCUAACGAACCACGCUUCUUCUACUCGUAGCAACCAAGCAACACAAACAGACAAACAACAAUCACGACUAAGAACAAGCAUCAAUCAAAAGAAAAGCUUUGAAAAAGAAGAGCGCAAUAAACGACACGGCUUAUUGUUAUAAUCGUGACAAUACAAGAACGAUUGAGAACGGAGCUAUCGUUAAACGGACACGACUAUUGAGGCUUGCUAUACGUUGGUCGUAUUUUAUUAGAUGAAAUAAUAUGACAGACAUUUAAUAGAACUAUCCUAAUUAGAUUAACCAAAUUAUGUUGAAUUAUAAAAGUCGGAGUUAAAUUUUAGUUAUAUUUUAAUUGUAGAUGGUUAUAUAUCAUUUAAGCCAUUUACGCCUUUGUAAUUUUAGAAAACAUAAAGCAAGUAAGAGCAACUAAUCAAAUCCUAACAUGCGUCGCAUUUAUAUUAAACAAGUUAUAACUAAUAAAGAACCAUUUAAGUUGAUAUUAAUAAUGUUAACAUUUAUUUAUUUAUAAAAGAUCUAAAUUAUAAACAUAGGUUACUUUUAAUCCAAAAAGACAUUAAAUAAAUAUUAAACAAAUUAAUUAUAUACUUUAUGUCUAACUAAAAGAAUUAUAAUUAAUAAAUAUUUAAGUUAACUUCAAUCAAGUUAAUAUUAGAUUAUAAAAAUAGCGAAGUGUAAACCUAAAUUGUUUUUUUGUUAAUUAAAAAUGACAUUAAAAAAUAUUAAUUAAACUAAUUAUAUUUAUAAACAUGGGACAUGAAAAAUAGUAUCGCUAAUAAGUCAUUUACGUUGCCAUGGUCAUAAAACAAUAGAAAACAUUAUUAUAAUUCUAUAUUGCUUUUAAUUAUAAAAUUAGGUGCAUAUAUUAAUUAAUCUAAUAUUCAAUUAAAUAUAGAAAAAAAUAUAUGACAUAAUAAAAGUUAGCACUACUGCGUAGAGCGCGACGUUACGAAACUAACGCAAUUGAAACGGAAUAAAACCGAGUUAGAACGAUUAAAUGGCGAAGGAUUAAUGACCGGUGGUAAACUUGUAAAUAUGUCUUCUUCUACACCUUGAGUGUGCAUCUCCUCUUCCUGGACGUAGAUGGCAGCCAUGGGAGCUCUCUGUUCUCGCGGACAGGACCCGAUGGGAGGAGAGCUCGGCCUGGCUGGGGCACGGCCGACGGUGCAGCACCGCUAGGCCGCUGCGGCGGGGGCCACGCAGGGCAGGGCAGGGCAGGGCGCGGCCUGUGCCCACGCGGCCACGGUGAACACCGGCUGCUGCUGCCUAGCAGCACGCGUGCAGCGCAGGGGAGGGGCGGGGCGUGGCAGGGAUGCUGCGCGCGGUUCGGCGAGGGGAGGAGGCGCUGGGGUGCGGGAAAGACAAUGCAGGGAGAAGUGGAAAGAAUGGUCGGAGAAAGAGGUGACCGGCCAUGGAAACCUCUCGCCGGAGAUGAAGAUGGGAUGGAAAACAUGUUAAACAGUGAUGGAUUUUUGUAAACAAAUAUACCACGGCGAAGAGAAUGACGAGGGCUACCUCGUAGUGCUGGUAGAAUUCACUGGAACGCAACGAAGUGAUCGGAAAAGCUCGCCGGAGUGUUCGCCGGAAAAGUUCACCGGUGGAACUUCGGCAUUAGAUCUAGAGCAAACGGAGUGGCGGCUCGAGAUAGGGUUUGUACUUCUAGAAUCAUCGCGAGAAGGAGAACGGCGGCAUAUAUAUAGGUCUAAGGUUUGGAAAAGUUUCAAAAUUAUUAAUUUCGGGAUUUUUAGAAAUUCAUUUUCAGUUCAAAAAUAAUUCCAGAAAAAGCUAAAACCAUUUUAAAUCCCUGAAAAAUAUUUCUGAAAUUCUAAAAAAAAUAAAGGAAAACAUUUAGAGAUAUUUUGAGAGUUGAUCAAUCUAGAUAAAGUUUUUAGUGUUCAUGAACAAGAAUUUUAGAGCGUCCAAAAAUUAUAUUUUUCUCUAGGAAAAUGGGAAAAAGUCCCGGAAAAAAUUUGGAAAAUACUCAGAAAUGAUCGGCGGCAUCGAAUGUAUUUGUAAAAUGUUAACAUGCACAAAAACAACAAACCCAAGUAAUAGACAAGCAUCACAUCAACAAAAGCCGACACAAUUAAUUUUUUUUAGAAAAAACAUCAUUUUCCUAAAUGGAAAUCUGAACUGAUGUUGACAAAUUUUAUCCACAUUUUUCUCUCUUUUUGAAUUCAAUAUUUAAAUAAAUCUUGGAAUAUUUUAGAAAAAAUUAAAUCCUUAUUUAAUUUAGUGUUUUCUAAUAACAAUCCAAAAUUAAAAAUUCUGGAGUGUUAUACAAUGCUCAAUAACAAGGCAACCAAUGCCAAAUUAGAGAGCGCAAAAAACUUAGCUACAUAAACUAAACAAUGUGACUAAUAAGGUUACACGAACCAAAUUAGUCACGCAAAGGAACUACUUCUAGCUACACAAGCAAGAAGGUAACUAGCAAGCUACACAAGCUAACUAAUUACAAGAGCAACUACACAAGCAUAAGUAUAUGAAUGUAAGCACAAGCUUGUGUUAGGGACUUGCAAACCAAUGGGAAGAACAAUGUUGACACGAUGAUUUUCUCCCGAGGUUCACUUGGUUCCCACCAAGCUACGUCCCCGUUGAGACAAGCUCCAAGGUUGCCGCCGGUCCUCUUGCUAGUGGUGUCCCGCAAGUCACACUCUCCCACGUGGAGUGGUUACCACAAGCUCUAGCACUUGACCUGGCCGGACCACUUGUCGCUCUUCACGUCUCGCUCAACUAGAGUUGCUCUUCGCUAUCCCCGCGGGGUGAGCACCGUACCCCUCAUAAUCUCUUCUCCGGAGCACCGCACAAUCUCCUUGCGUGCUUCAACGGAGUCACAAGCCACCAAGCCAUCUAGAAGGUGGCAACCUCCAAGAGUAACAAGCACCACCGGCUUGCAACACGAACACCUAGUGCCACUCGAUGCAAUCUCUCAAUGCAACGCACUAGAAUCACUCACUCGCUAUUGAUUCGCACUCUUGCAAGCACAAGUGAGUUAGAGGCUUUCCUAGCACUCCCCAAGCAUGGACACUAAGUCCCAAGGGUGCUCAACACAAGCCAAGGCCGGCCACCACUUAGCCCCAAGGGCUAAACUAGCCGUUACCCUUCACUAGGCAAAAGUCGACCACACCGGACGCGUCCUAGUUCACACCGGACGCGUCCGGUAUUGAUCAAACCAGCGUCUGGUGCUCCUGACCGUUAGAAAACUAGUUGUUGCCCUCAACGCUGACAAGGCAUCGGACUCUCACUUUUGAAUGCACCGGACCUAAACUCAGAGAGCGUUGCAAAACGUCACAGCACCGGACGCACAACUCGGACGCGUCCGGUGUCACACCAGACGCGUCCGGUGUGCACCGGACUUAAACACAGAGAGCCUACUGAGUUUGCACCGGACACUCAACUCGGACGCGUCCUGUGUCACACCGGACGCGUCCGGGGUGAAAUAGACGCAAACUCAGAGAGCUACUCGUGACAGCGUCUUCUCCGGACGAGUUACACCGGACUCAACACAGAGAGUCCGGUAAAACUGUGCUCACACCGAACGCUCAACUCGGACACGUCCGACCUCAUACCGGACGCGUCCGGCCUCACAUCGGACGCGUCCGACAUCACAUCGGACGUGUCCGGCCUAUACGCGCUGCACGAAACGAUCUUGAACUUCUUCCCUUGCUUCCAUAUGCCAACACCAAAGUGUCACAACACUUGUGCAAGUGUGUUAGCAUUUUUACAAACAUUUUUCAAGGGAGUUAGCCUCUCAACUUGCCCACCACUCGAUCCUAACACGUAUGCAAAGUUAGAUCGCUCAAGUGGCACUAGAUGACCGAUAUGCAAACAAGUUUGCCCCUCUUGAUAGUACGGCCAUCUAUCCUAAAUCCGGUCAUAAACUUCUCUACACACCUAUGACUGGUGAAAUGGAAAUGUUCUAGGUUAUACCUUUGCCUUGCGCAUUUCAUUCAAUCUCCUCUAAUGUUGAUGCAACACAUGCACCAACUAAUCACCAAAUGAUAUGAUCCACUUCAUAUCAUCGCAGUGGCCUUGCGCCGGGCGUCAGGUGCUGCGUUGGUGCAGGAUCUCGUGCCGGCCUUGCACUGGCCAUCAGGUGCUGUGCGACGGAGGAGCUCGUGCCGGCGGCCAACACCAUGGGAUGAGAUUCGCGAGACCACCAAGUAGCGCUCUUCUACUAAAUCAAGAUGGUGUGUGUGAGCUGUGCUCUGAUUGAGUUGGAGAACAUAAAGGCAACAGAGAAAUUGGGACAGAGAUGGUUGCGGGAGUGGGCUCGCAAUGGUGUGCCGUUGUUGCUUGCCAUGGCUGCUGUGACUGUGAGGUGGAGCUCCGAGGGGCGAGGUGGGCGCGGAGGCGAGCUGGACGAGCAUGUCUAGUACCUGUUCGAGAAAAUGCCUCAAAAAGGGUGAUCUCACCACCCCAAAUAAGAGGUGCUUGUAUGCAAACAAAAUCAGACAACCAAACACACAGAUUCUUAGCCAGGCUUAACUAGUACACAUAACCAAACAUGUGCUGCUUGCAUUGCCUAAAGCUGGCUAGAGCUAGUCUGUCUUAGUUUUGGUAGCCACACUUAUGUAGGAAACGAACCAAACAGACCCAUAUAAGCCAGCCAGAGCGCGACCCAUUUCGUCUCUGGUCUCCACGACCGAUUUUGUUUGGGCCGGUCCUGUUUCAUGAAACUAUUUAUGAAACUAAAUAUACAGAUUCUGAGACUAUUUUACAAGAUAAAUUUAUUAAAUCUAAUUAAUUCGUGAUUUAAUAAUAUAAUGCUAUAGUAAAUAUAUACUGUGCUAAGUAAAUAUAUACUAAUGAUAAAUUAAUUAGACUUAAUAAAUUCAUCUCGUGAAUUACUGAUAGAUUAUAUAAUUUAACUCGAAAUUCAAAACCUUUUCAAAAUUCUUCAUCAUAUCGAAUCUUGCGGCACAUACAUGGAAUUUACCUAUAAUUUACGAGAUAAUUUUUUUAAGCAUAGUUAGUUCAUAAUUAGAUAAUAAUUGUCAAAUACAAACGAAAGUGUUACAGUACUUAAAAUAUUUUCACACAGUAAGGCCUUGUGUUAGUUCCUUGUGUGAAAAGUUUUUGAAUAUUGUAGUAUUUUUGUUUGUAUUUAGCAAUUGUUGUCCAACUAUGGACUACCUAGGUCAAAAAAAUCGUCUCACAAAUUAUAGAUAAACUGUAUAAUUAAUUAUAUUUUUUAUUUAUAUUUACUGCUUUAUGCAUGUGCUGUAAGAUUCGAUAUGAUGAAAAUGUUGUAAAGGUUUUUUAAUUCUGGAUGUAACUAAGGCUUUGUUUAGUCGGAAAAACUUGGAUUUUUGGCACUGUAUCAUUUUCGUUUUUAUUUGACAAAUAUUAUCCAAUUUUGGAGUAACUAGGUUUAAAAGAUUCGUCUCGCGAUUUUACAGAUAAACUGUAUAAUUAGUUUUUGUUUUCAUAUAUAUUUAGUGCACCAUACAUAUACCGCAAGAUUCGAUAUGACGGGAAAUCUUGAAAAUUUUUAGGAACUAAACAAGGCCUAAAAGCAAGGCCUUAGUCAAGAAUCCCGUUAGUGCCGAUGCUCGUGGUCGUGCAGCAGGUAGAGCCUUCCCAGCAAGAUACAGAUAGCUGAUAGGUAAUGACGACAGACCAAACCAGGAAAGAGGUUAUCAGUGGAGUGCUUAUCAGGGUGAGGUGGGUACUGGACAGGACAGGACAGCCAGCUUUGGUCAGUGCCGUGCGUCCCUUCGUCCUUUUUUAGGUACGGCACCCGCACCACGACGCACCGCACCAGCGUCAACGUCAGCUACCGUUAUUGUUUAUUCAAGUUUUUUGUUUGCCGUUUUGAAUCAAUGAUCCUCCAGUACUUAAAUUUUUUCAUUCCAAAUUAUAAAUUAUCUUGACUUUUUUUACACACACAUAUAUAUAUAUAUAUAUAGUUUUUACUAUACAUCUAAACAUAAUAUGAUCUAGCUGCAUAACAAAAACUACCAUGCUUUUUUUGUAAAGAAAAACAGAACAACUUAACAAAUCGAGUUUAUAAUAUGGAAAAGUCUGAAAUAGACGUAGCCUAAAUUUAUAAGGUGAAAAGAAGGAUAAAUCGCCAUGAUUUAGGUAAUUAUUAGGUAUGUGCAUGAGAAAGUUUUUUUUUUCUGUUGGUAGAUGCUCAACCCAAAAGAAUGGCCCACGGGUCACAUAGGCCAUCUCCAUCUUUACAGAAGUGGAAUCAUCUCUAGUUAGGUCUCAAUUGACAAAUACCUAACAUUCUCUUCAUGUGUGCACAUAUUCGGAAAUUAAUUCUCCCAAUUAAUGUCUUCUUACACAUUGAUAUGCCGAUAUUUUUGUUCCUUGGAGUAUAAUAUCUAAACAAUUUUUUUUCUUCAAAACCAAGUGCAACACAUCGCUAAUAGUAUUUACUUUAGACGAAUCAUUGAAGCUUACUUUCAUAAUAUACAACAAAAUGAUGAUCAAUAAAGAUAGGGCUACAUCAAAACUUAGUUUUACUAAUUUUAUAGUCCACUUAUGUUUUUCAAAUUUGUUAGUAUUGUAGAAAAUAGUCAUAAAAAUAUGAAAUCAACAAUAUAUCAUUGUAUUGUGAAAGCUCAUUGGACCAUGUAACAGUGUUAAUAAAAGAAAGAAAUGAACUAUCUACGCACACUCCCCCUCCCCCUCCCCCGCCCCUUGACAUAACAUCGGUUUGUCUAGUAAGAUGUUAGUACAGUAAUGAAGAAGCAAAGGCCGAUCCAAGUUCACCACCCGUUGCCGACCACCGCCCAUCACCACUCGCUAGCACUAAUGCCCCUCUCGCCGGUGAGGACCCUAUGCUCGCUCAUUUACUAACUCAACCCCCUUGUGCCUCCUCUCUAAAAUCAAGCCCCCCUAACAUUUCUCCUCUCCAAAUCUAGUUCAAGCACAAUGGUGAAUUGCCUAGAGACCAAUGAACUUUUCCCCCCACCAAAUCUUAGCCCUUAGUACUAUAAUAGUCCUGCUCGAUGGUUUCAAUGCGGUGCAUUCCCAAGUAUAUGAACCCUAGGUCCUAUGUGAUAGGUAGAUGGAAUGACUUGAUGUAUAGAUGUAGAUAUGUUUAGCAGCGAACUAGCUAAAUUGAUGUGUUCAUUGGCAAUGCAUUAUGUAGAAUCAUUGAAUUAUGAAGAGGGAUCAAGACAUGGUGAGUUAGUUAAAUCUAAGAUUCACUUUGUUGCUUAUUACUCUUUACGUUCCAAAUUACAAGGCAUUUUUACUUUUUAAUACAUUGUUUUUACUAUGUAUUUAGAUAUAGUGUGUUAUCUAAGUUAUAGUAAAAAUUAUGUACCUAAAAAAGUCAAAAAUGUCUUAUAAUUUGAAAUGGGAGGAGCUUAUUAACGCUUACUAAAUGUGAGGUAAUUUUUUUUUGCCUAGUUUAUCAAUGAAUCUUACCGAAUUACAUAUGAAUUUUUUGAUACCCCUUUAUAUCCUAUACAAAAAAAAAUUCUUAGUUUCCCAACUGAACAUGACGGCAAUAUUUAUUUUAGUUUGCAUCUCUACCACAUGUUUUACUAAUAUCACUCGGAUUAUUUUUCUCUUUUUCUUGGCAUGUUUUGUGAGAACGGUUCAAAGUGAUGGUAAUUUGCAACUGUCCAUGUGCUUUUUCAAUACCCUGGUGUUAGUUUAAUCGUGGGCGCUAAUGGUAUCCGUACAGUGCAUUAAAAAAAUGGGGGCCCACACAAGACGACGCACGCAAAGGGGAAUACCACGGAACGGAACGGGAAAAGGAAAAACCGUCCCCAGGGAGCACGGGACCAGUCACCAACUACACUCGUCUCUCUCUCGAGACGCCGAAGUGAGGGCUCGGGGUCCACACGUCAGUGUAACGGGUAGGUCAAGCGCCCGGGUACAACGCUUGGCUUUGACAUGACGUAGGAGUGGCUGUACGAUCUGCAGUCCUUUGCCCGUCCUCCCCUCCCCCGCAUCGCCCCCUCCCCACCUGGACUCCUCACUUCCCAACCUUUUCCCUUUCCCCAUUCUACCCCCCGCCGAGUACACCCGCCGUACCGUACCUUCCGUCCAAUCGGAUUCCACACGGCCGCCGAGUUUACCGCCGUACCCCUGACAGCGACUCUGACCACGGGUGGUGAUGAAAGCACUGAUAUCAUAUUUGUUUUCAUAUUUUUGGUCGGAUUCGGAUUCGAAUACGGAUAAUAUCAACCAUGUCGGAUAAGAUAUAAUUGGAUGUCGACAUCACAAAUAUACGAUUUCAGUAUUCGGAUACGGAUACGGUAUCGGAUGUUGAAUAUUCAGACUCGAAUACGGACAGAUCUAAACCCCUCUAAACGAAUUCGGUCUCGAAUACGGUCGGAAAAUAUCCGUACCGUUUUCAUCCCUACUGACCACCAGGGACGCAGGGGCAAUUACGGACAACACAGGCACAGCCCCGCGUACUCCCCAGUACGACACGCUCCAGGGGUAGCCUCGUCAUUUGUCUCCUAGUACACAUCUUGUUGCCCACAUCCAUCGCCGGCCCGCUUGUCCCUUUUCCUCCCCCCGCAACCCACCGCCGGAUCAAGAAGCCACCGAGACCACCGCCGUGCGCCCGUCCGCCGUGUCAAGAAGCCACCAAGACUUUAUCCCACCCCUCCCUGCUCCCUCCCUCGUCCCUCCCCAUGGCCGCCGCGGCAUCCCACCACCACCAGCAGCAGCAGCAGCACAGGCACCCCAAGCGCCGCCGCCUCGCGCUCUCCCCCUCCCCCACCCCCACCCCUGCCGCCGCCGUGCCGCCGCUCGACUCGCUGGCCGACGAGCUUCUCUUCCUGGUGCUGGACCGCGUGGCGCAGGCCGACCCGCGGGCGCUCAAGUCCUUCGCUUUGGCCUCCCGCGCCUGCCACGCCGCCGAGUCCCGGCACCGCCGGACGCUCCGCCCGCUCCGCGCGGACCUCCUCCCCGCCGCGCUGGCGCGGUACCCGUCCGCCACCCGCCUCGACCUCUCCCUCUGCGCGCGCGUCCCCGACGCCGCCCUCGCCUCCGCCGUCUCCGGGUCCUCUUCCUCAGCGCUCCGCGCCGUCGACCUCUCCCGCUCCCGCGGGUUCGGCGCCGCGGGCGUCGCCGCGCUCGCCGCGUCGUGCCGGGGCCUCGCCGACCUCGACCUCUCCAAUGGGGUCCACCUCGGGGACGCCGCGGCCGCCGAGGUGGCGCGGGCGAGGGGCUUACGGAGGCUCUCGCUGGCAAGGUGGAAGCCGCUCACCGAUAUGGGGCUCGGCUGCGUCGCCGUUGGGUGUACGGAGCUCAGGGAGCUCUCGCUCAAGUGGUGCCUUGGGUUGUCGGAUCUGGGCAUCCAGCUCCUCGCCCUCAAGUGCAGGAAGCUCACCAGCCUGGAUCUCUCCUACACCAUGGUGAGCGUUGUGCGGGUUUCUUUGCCCUCUCUGUUCGUUUCUUGGAUGAUUCUGUCUUUUUACGUUUCUUGAUUUGAUUUCUAGGCAUCAGGUUCCCCUCUGAUUCACCAGAGCAAAAUGGGCUCCCUUUGCUAAAUCUACUACCUUUCAUCAGUUACAAGUAGUACAUCAAUUGCUCAAUCUAAUUUAUUCAGUUAGUGCUUAGGGCAUUGGACCACUUCAGUGUAUUCUUGAUCUGCAGACGUUCUUAUCUAUAAACAUGGCAAAACAUCUUUGCAGCAAUGGAUCAGCAGAGCAGUACUAGUAGCCAACUCUAGUUUCUCUUGCUGCUUUGUGCCUACCGACCAUUUUAUCUUAUCGUGCUAGAGUAAUAAUAAAAUGGAAACGUAUCUUGUGUUGCAGAUCACAAAGGAUAGCUUUCCUCCUAUCAUGAAGCUACCCAAUCUUCAAGAGUUGACACUGGUGGGGUGUAUUGGAAUUGAUGAUGAUGCCUUUGGUAGUCUUGGGGAAGAAUGCAGUAAAUCACUACAGGUGAGGUGCUCAUGGUAAUUUGCCAUUUUUAUUGAUUUGCUUGUUACUGGUAAUCACACAUCACCUUCAUCUCAAAACACUGUGGUAGUAUUUUCUGCUUGGUCUUACACCGUUAGGUCCUGAACUCCUUGUCUGAACUAGUCACUUGUACUAAAAUAUGUAUUUUUGAUAAUUCACACACAAAAGUGUUUCAUAGUAGUGCAAAGCUCUUCUUAUUACUGAACUUGCAUGCUUGCACGGUUGCAGGUGCUUGAUCUGUCUCAGUGUCAGAAUAUCACUGAUGUGGGAGUUUCAUCCAUACUGAAGUCGGUACCCAAUUUAUUGGAACUGGAUCUUUCAUACUGCUGUCCUGUAAGUAGCUAGUCAUCUAGUUGUAUUAUUGUAUCACCUGGGCAUAACACGAGCCCUUGCAGCUCAACUUACAUCCUUCAUGUAUCAGGUUACUCCUUGUAUGGUGAGAAGCUUCCAGAAGAUUCCUAAACUGCAGACCCUGAAGCUGGAAGGCUGCAAAUUCAUGGCUUAUGCACUAAAAGCCAUUGGAACCUCUUGUGUUUCUUUAAGGGAGUUAAGCUUGAGCAAGUGCUCUGGAGUGACGGAUACAGAACUCUCUUUUGCCGUGUCAAGACUAAAGAACCUGCUGAAGCUGGACAUUACUUGCUGUCGCAAUAUCACUGAUGUUUCACUAGCGGCCAUAACUAGUUCAUGCAGUUCCCUCAUCUCUCUGAAGAUGGAGUCUUGUAGCCAUGUGUCCAGUGGAGCACUCCAACUGAUCGGGAAGCACUGUUCUCACUUGGAAGAGUUGGACCUUACUGACAGUGAUUUGGAUGACGAAGGUACUUAAUACUGAACUGAAUUAUUCUUUUUUGCCAAAUGGACAUAGAGUUGACUCUUUUUUUUUUUUGGCGCAGGAUUGAAAGCUCUUUCCAGAUGCAGCAAACUUUCAAGUCUAAAAGUUGGCAUUUGCUUGAAGAUAAGUGAUGAAGGUCUUACCCACAUUGGAAGGUCCUGCCCAAAACUCCGCGAGAUUGAUUUGUACAGGUCAUUAUUUGACAUGCCGUGUGGUUGUUUUCUUUGUUUGGUUCUUUGUCGGUAAGCUAACUUAUAUUUUCUGUUUCAGGUGUGGAGGCCUUAGUGAUGAUGGAAUUAUUCAAAUUGCACAGGGUUGUCCCAAGCUAGAGUCUAUGAAUCUAUCCUACUGUACAGAAAUAACAGACCGUUCACUGAUUUCACUUUCAAAAUGCACAAAGCUGAAUACUCUGGAGAUUCGUGGCUGCCCCAUGAUUACAUCCACUGGGCUCUCAGAAAUAGCAAUGGGGUGCAGGCUGCUUUCCAAGCUUGAUAUUAAGAAAUGCUUUGAGAUUAAUGAUGCGGGAAUGCUUUACCUUUCCCAGUUCUCUCAUAGCCUCCGUCAGGUAUUAUCCUUUUCUCCUAUAACUGUAAUUGGAAUAUGAUGGUACCAUGUAUGUUCUGCAAUUGUGCUAAUACGAUUUACAUCUUGUCACAGAUAAACUUGUCAUACUGUUCAGUCACCGAUAUUGGGCUUCUUUCCCUUUCUGGCAUAUCCGGCUUGCAGAACAUGACCAUCGUCCAUUUAGCGGGUAUGACGCCUAAUGGCUUGAUGGCUACUCUUAUGGUUUGUGGUGGUUUGACGAAAGUGAAGCUUCAUGAAGCAUUCAAAUCCAUGGUGCCUCCUCAUAUGAUAAAAAAUGUACAGGCGCGCGGGUGUGUUUUCCAGUGGAUCGAUAAACCAUUCAAGGUAUUAUACUGUUCCUCUGGUUGCUUGCUUUACACAGUGUUAAACCCUUGAGUUCACCAACUCGUUUAGGUGUCUUGCUUGAUUUGCUACUCGAAAACACUACAUACUAUUUGCUUCAGAAAAGUUGUGGUUCUAUUAAGCUAUGUUUGUGCUGUCAGAUCUAAAUGCAAAUAUGCAAUUGUUGUUUUUCACUUUUAAGAUUUUGUCUAUGCUUCAAAACACACAACUCAUGAUUUGCAUAUGGAUGGUGUUAAAAAAAAAUGCCUAAGUGCAUAGACAGUUGUCUUAUAUCUGUUGACUGUUGAGUGGAUUUGUUCUUACUAAAAUUACAAGCCUGCAAAAGUCAAUAGUGUCUAAUAACAGGUGUGGCCUUGUGUAGGUUGAGGUGGAACCUUGUGAUGUAUGGAAGCAACAGUCCCAAGAUGUUCUUGUACGAUGAGAAGACCUCAAAUGUAGCUACCGUGGAAGGCAGGGCAUGCAUCCAGAAGUGAUGUCUGAAGAACGAGCUUACAAUUUUGUACCACAGAGGUGUAUAUCUUUAUGUUGUAUACUAGAUGAGUAGAUCCAGUCCCGAACCCCCAAUCCCACUUUUGUUUGGUGAGGUGAAGAUGCCUGGGGUGUAGAUUACAUUUCUGUGGAGCACAAUCAGGAAGUUGUUGUAUACAACAUUAUCAUGUAAGAUGAAGGAAAGUUAUUGACAUGAAAGAGAUGGUUUUGGUUGAUAUAAUAAAAUGGUUUCGGAAUUUCAUGCCAUAGAUAUGGCCUGUGUUUGUUGGCUGGUCGCAUUUAUGUUUGUGAUUAGCUGGAUUUAAGUGGAGGCUUGCAUGGCAUUGCAUCAGUGUCCUGUUUGGGAUGUUCACAUGCCUGUUCAUAGUGCUUGAAUGAAUUGGCUUGCCAGUUGCAUAUGCCAUACAGGAUCUGGUGCAUCGUAUCCUCUCAAGGAGAGCAUAGUAGACGGAGAGGCAUUCAGACCCUUCAAGUUUGUGGGUGCUUGAGUUUGGUCAAGUCCGAUGUGAGUCAGUGCUGGGCGAACGGGACCAUGGAACUCAGAGCACAGGGUGAGACAGGAAUGGCGGCUUGAAGAGGUAAAGAGGCAGGCAGCCAUGGCCAUGAGCAGCUACUAGAAUAGUACUAGCAUUGAAGAAGAGCGAGAGCGAGGCGACAUGGGCGGCGGCGCGGCGCAGGACAGGCAGUUGCCAUUGCCGUUGGCAACCACCGGCCGAUGCUCCCGUCCGUGAUCCCCUUGAUGAGUAAAUGCAUAGCAUCUCCAUCUCCAUCUGCUGUUGCCGGGUUGCGUCGCCCCUCCGCCAUGGCUAGCCGUUUCGCCCAGGGCAGAGCGCUGCUGCUGCCACCUGCUGCAUUGCUCCAGCCUCCAGUCUCCCAGCCAGCCCUUGUCAUCCGUCCGUCCUACACAAGUAGAAGAAGAGGAAGCUUGAAAUGCUUCAUUCAUUACAUAGGUGGCGGAUGCCUGUAUUAAGGCCUUGUUUAGUUGGCAAAAAUUUGGGUUUUUGGCUACUGUAGCACUUUCGUUUUUAUUUGACAAACAUUGUCUUUCGUUUUUAUUUGACAAACAUUGUCCAAUCAUAGAGUAACUAGGCUCAAAAGAUUUAUCUCACAAAUUACAGGUAAACUGUGUAAUUAGUUUUUAUUUUCGUCUAUAUUUAAAGCUCCAUGUAUGCGACCAAAGAUUCGAUGUCACGAAAAAUUUUAAAAAAUUUUGCGAAGUAAACAAGGCCAUAGAAUGGUCCGUCGUGAUACGCUGCCCUACCCUAGCGGUGCUGUCAUUAAUGCUCCCCUCCCCACCACACCUACGAACCAACCAAUGAACCAAAACCUUAAGCAUAAAUUUAACCCACCGCUCCUGUUCCUCCUCCUCCUGCUGCUGCUCUCUUCUUGCUUGGGUCGAGUCGAGGUCGAGGUCGAGGGGAGAUCGGAGAGGACGGAGCGGUGCAAGCAAUGGGGAUCUGCUGCAGCAAGGCGGCAGCAGGCCGGGAGCUGGACGACGACCAGCAGGGCUUGGGCUUCCCAUGGAUGCACGACGACCUGUUCCACACCCACCUCUGGGCCAGCGCCGGCGUCUCCGUGCACACCAAGCAGGGAUGGAAGGGCGCCAACCAGGACGCCAUGACCGUCUCCCAGGUGCAUAUGCAUCAUCUCACCCUCCUUCUCUCCCUUCUCUGCCUGCACCUGCACCUUGGAUUGGAUUGGUUGGUUGCAGAGCCUCUGCCUACUAGUUAGUUCGUCGCAUUUGAUAGCUCCCUGCCUCUGCAGUCUUGCACCAUUGAUUUUGUCCAACCAGGAAGAAUGAUAGCAACUAACAAAACUGAAAUAUCUGGGAUAUUGUGUGUUUGUGUUCUGCCAAUAUGCAAGCUGUUCACGGUGUUGUUGCAACUUGCAACGCGAGUUGUAUUUACAACACAGUUUGUGCAAAGUGCGCCGAAUCCAUCUAUCUAUGGCUAUGGCUGCUGAGAAUUGAAAUCUUACAGCCUGAGAUAUUAGUAGAAGGAAAAAAAACCGUUCUUUUUAGCAACCUGAAAUUAUGUACUUCACCAUCUUUAUUGCCCACACCACCAGUGUCCUGAGAGCUUGCAUUGUACAUGAACCUGCCUGUGCUGGGCCCGAACAUUUAAAACUAUGUUGGCACAUCCAUAUCUUUGUACCUUAUUAUUAUUAUUAUUAGCAUCUCCAAUGCAAGUACAUUGAGUUUUCUCUUUUACACGCGUGAUUCUUGCUUGAUCUUGAUGUGUCGCAAUUAUAUCAAGAUGCUUAGGACUUUGCUGGCCGCAAAGGCCAUAUCUUCUGCGGAGUGUUUGAUGGCCAUGGCCCUCAUGGCCGGGAAGUCGCUCGCCAUGUCCGCGACACCCUUCCAGUGAAACUAGCCUCGGUUUUGAAACCGAAAACUGGGGAUGAAGAUUCCGCAAGCGAUUCUUUGAAGCAUAAACCUGAAGAAGAUGACUCAAGCAACAAUUUGAAGCUCAAACCUGGAGAAGCUGACUCAAGCAAUAAUUUGAAGCUCAAACCAGAAGAAGAUGAUUCAAGCAAUAGUUUGAAGCUCAGAACUGAAGAAGAUCACUCAAGCAAUGGUUCGAAGCUCAGAACUGAAGAAGAUCCCUCAAGCAACACGGAUUUGGAUUCCUUUGACAAGUCAGAUAGCAGCUCGUCCAGUGAUGAUACAAGUGAUGAGAGCCAGCUGUUGUCCACUUGGAAGAACAUAUUUGUGAAGGCAUUUGAGCAGGUGGACGAGGAGCUGAGGCAACAUUCAGGAAUUGACUGCAUUUGUAGCGGCACAACUGCAGUUGCUGCUGUUAGACAGGUACUAAUUCUGAACUGUAACUACUAGCUGAGCUGGAAAUCCUUGUUUCAGUGAUUUGGAUUCCUUGGCAAGUCAGAUAGUGGCCCAGUGUUUUACUUGUACUGUAACUACUAGCUGCAUUGGAAAUCAUGUUUAAGUUGUAGAUACAAAUACUGAAAACUACACCUUAAAGGUUAAUCCAACAUAUGUAAACCUUACAAAUCACUUAUUCUGUUGCCCAAUUGGCCUUCAUAUGCAUAUACAGGGUGACCACUUGAUCGUUGCCAAUUUGGGAGAUUCACGCGCUGUUCUUUGCACCCGGGACAGCAAGGACCGACUGAUCCCCGUCCAGCUCACCACUGACUUGAAGCCCGAUCUUCCAAGUGAGUAUCCAAACUUCUCAUUUCAUGGUAAUCGGUGCAUGCACAUGAAUACAUAUUGACUGAAUUUUGCAUUACUGUGUACUUGCAACAGGCGAGCUCGCAAGGAUUCUGAGCUGCAAGGGAAGAGUGUUCGCCAUGGAUGACGAACCAGACGUGCCUAGGAUGUGGCUGCCGGAUCAGGAUGCGCCGGGCCUCGCCAUGGCGAGGGCAUUCGGGGACUUCUGCCUGAAGAACCAUGGCCUUAUCUGCACACCUGAAGUCUACUGCAGGAAACUGUCUGAGAAAGAUGAGUUCUUGGUGCUUGCUACUGACGGGGUAAUUUUUCUUUUUUUUUAAAAAAAAAUGAAAAUUAAUUUAUUUGAUUGGCAGUUUCAGAUUCCUGUCACUUUCAGUCCAGGUUUCUUUAAUCAGAAAGGCUUGCAGAAUGAUCUGGGUACAGAAUAUAGCAUAAAUCCCUUUCAGAUAAGACCCACAAAAGAAACUGUUAACCAAAACCAUACAUGCACAUCACUGUCGUCUAUUUAUUAUUGCCAUGAUACAUAGUUUUAGCUGAUAAUGAUUUGUUUUUUCAAAUCAAAAUAGACAAAACUCUCAGAUGAUAAUGGUUUUACGGUAGCAUGAGAGAAGUCUGAAUUUCGUUUUCUGCCCUGCCGAAACCUGUUGCAGAUUUGGGACGUGCUGUCGAAUAAGGAGGUGGUGAAGCUGGUGUCAUCGUCGACCGACCCAUCCAAGGCGGCGAGGCAGCUGAUCGACCGGGCCGUCCGAGCGUGGCGGCGCAAGUACCCGACGUCCAUGGUGGACGACUGCGCCGUCGUGUGCCUCUACCUGAACCGGCGAGCCUCUCCUGGUUCUGACGAGAGCCUCAGAGUCCCAGGCAUAGGAGAGGACGUGAAGCCGCCGGCUGUGCCGUUCACGGGCAGCAGCUUCCGCAGGGCUCUAAGUAGCGGCGGCGGCGAGGCGUCGUCGGAGGAGGGGGCGACGGUGUGGAGAGCGCUGGAGGGGGUGGCGCGGGCCAACUCGGUGAUCAGGCUGCCGCGGCUGGGGCGCGUGCUGAGCUGGCGGAGGCGGUCGAGUUCGCUGGACGAAGACGACGGCGAGGAGCGGGAGUGAUCAUCAUCACCAAUCCCUGGCCAAAUUGAAGGGAGGCCAUCGUUUUCAUGGGCGGUACACGUAAAUUCAUCCGUGCAUGGUCAUGGACCGAUGGACGCGAAGCAGCCAAAUUGAAAAAGAAUUCUAGGAUUUGAUUGGCGUAAUGGCCCUGUCGCAAUCAGGUUGUUGUUGAAAUGGAUGAGGUGAUAUGGACAAGAGUAGCCUCUGAAUGGUUGUUCAUACUUACGUUUGCGUUUGCUGUAACUGUAAUUUGUUGGUGAUAUUAGUUUCUGACACCAUAUGAACAAGCAUGAUCGAUCUUUGGACUUUGGAGUGGUUUCUCAUCAUUCUUAAAAUUGAGGCUUAAGUAAUAGUUCAUGAACCAAAACGGCUAUUCUGCAUAAAAUUUACUAAUUUGGAGCCUCAAUUCAUUGCGUGAUGGUAGGAAAGGGAUGUUAUACACAUUCUAAAAAAUGAUGGAACAUGAAAUGGAUGCAUACAUUUUAACCUUGGUAUUUUGAUAACAAAGAAGCACAAUUACUGCUCGUGACAUUAGAUGAGCAAGUAACAACACUGAUGGUUGAUGUCGUGGUUUGGCUUUUUUUUUUUGGGACUGUGUCUUAUACGCUGGUCUAGGGUCCAAAGAUGGAUAGGCGUUCGCUCAUCGUAGUCUAAUUUUCUCCCUCAAACUUCAAAAUUAGAUAUUUUACUUCCUGAGUUUGAAAAAAAUCAUUUAAAUUACCUUCUUGUCUUGGUUUGGAGUGGUUUUGAAGAUGGUUUUAUCUUUAUUUACUUUUAAAAAUUCGCUAAACACAUUGAAAAAAGCUUUUAAUCACAAAAAAUAUCUCCAAACUUUUAAAAAUCCCUCCUAAAAAGCUAAAUAUAGAUUAUAAUACACCAAAACAAAUUAAAAUAUUUAGAUCUUGUGAAAAUAUAUCUAAAUGCUUCAAAAAAUUGAAUUUAAGUUUAGAGAACGGAAAAAACUAGAAAAUUCCCAAAUCGUUCUAAACAAUAUAUAAGCGUGUUUUAAAAACUAAUUACAAUAAAAAACAUAAUAUACAACCAACAAAAAUGCAUAACAUGAAUGCAUUCAACAUUAAUGUAUGUUGUAUUUAUGCUAGUCGCAUUUUAUAGUUUUGCCAUGCGGAAUUUUAAAACACAUUUAUAUAUCGAUUAGAUUGAUUUGAGAUUUUUGUAAUUUUUCUAGAUUUUUUUCCAUUUUCCUUGAGUUAAAUUUAUUUUUUUGAAGCAUCAAGAGAUAUUUUUAUGAGCCCUAAAUUUUUUAUUUAAAUUUGGCGUAUCCUAAUCUGUCUCUAGUAUUGUUUUUUUUUUGAGAUUUUCAAAAGCAUAGAGACAUUUUCUAUGGUUUAGAAACAUUAUUAAGUAUUUAUCAGUUUUUUAACUUUAUUAGUAUAAAAGGACAAAACCACUCCAAAUGAGGACUUGGUUGGAGGUAGUGUGAGCGGUUUCAAGAGUUUAAAGAGGAGAAUCAGAUUACAACGACAGUUCUUGGAGAUAUAGGCCUUGUUUAGGCCUUGUUUAGUUCCGAAAAAAUUUCGGAUUUCGCUACUGUAGCACUUUCGUUUUUAUUUGACAAAUAUUGUCCAAUCAUGAACUAACUAGGAUCAAAAGAUGCGUCUCGCGAUUUACAAACAAACUUGCAAUUAGUUUUUGUUUUCGUCUAUAUUUAAUGCUUCAUGCAUGUGCCGCAAAAUUCGAUGUGACGGGGAAUCUUGAAAACUUUUUGGAUUUCGGGGUGAACUAAACAAGGCCUUAGUUCGCGAAAACAAAAGUUUUUAUGUAUUGUAGCACAUUUGUAACUAUAGCAAUUAGUGUCUAAUUAUGGACUAAUUACGCUUAAAAGAUUCGUCUCGUAAAAUACAUACAAACUGUGCAAUUAAUUAUUUUUUAAUCUAUAUUUAAUGCUCUAUUCAUGUGUUUAAUUAUCUAUAUGAUGGGAUGAAAAUUUUUUAGGUGAAAACUAAACAGGGCCAUAAUAUAAUAGAUUGUUCCCAUGUCAAAUCUCAAGUAUACUUGCCCUAAUUAAGUUAAAGAAAAAUAAAUAGGGCCCAACUACAUGAGCCAGAUGUUUUUUUACAGAGGCCCAUCUGAAAACUUUUGGCCCACGAGGCCUGGAGGCUGUCGUGCUCUUUUCUGGCCCGUCUGCGCGAGCGCGAUGAGCCCUUGCCGUAGUCCUCCUCCUCUGCCGCCUCCGGCCGGCGUGUCCAUCUCCGAUCUGCACAGGUUGAUUUCAGCCCUUGCCGUUGCCGGCGAUCUGCACAGGUUGAUUUCAGCAGAAACAGUAUAAAUUUGAGACUGACUAAUGUACCCAACAUCAAGCUGCAUCAUCCCAUACAUAGGCUUAAAAUUUACACAUCUAAAAAAUAUUCAGUCCAAUCCAAUGUUUGCCUUCAACUGCGACGCCCCUGCAUGUAAUUCUUCUUUCAAAUAUUAUUACAGUCUUCCUUAUUUUCUAUUUAUGGACCAAUAUUUUGCUCCGUCUAUUGUCCCUCUCAUCCACAGCUAAAAAUAGCCAAAAUCAAACGCUCCUCCUCCUCCUCCUCUGCCAUGCGUGAAGCAUUGCCCUUCACUGUCUCACAGCCACACUGAAGAAUUGAUGCCCCUCCCCAUGCAGAGCAACCAUUCCCCAGAACACACAAGAUCACAAUCGAUCGAUCCAAUUCCAUUGCAAACAGCAGCAACCAAUGCAAUGCAAUGCAGCAAUGGCGCAACCUAGGUUAGGUAGCCGACAGAUCAUCACUUAGCCAAGCGUCCAAUUCUAGCAGAGAGCGAGAUGACGGCGGUGGCGAACCUGUCGUCGGGGGCGCUGGAGUCGACGGUGAAGCCGGUGGCGGCGGCGUGCUACGACAACAACCUGGUGAACUCGCAGGGCAUGUUCCUGGGCGACCAGCCGCUGCGCUUCUCCCUGCCGCUCCUCCUCGUGCAGGUCUCCGUCAUCCUCGUCCUCUCCGCGGUCGCCAACCUCGUGCUCCGCCGGCUCGGCCAGUCGCGCUUCAUCACCCACAUGCUCGUCGGCAUCUUGUUAGGCCCCACCGUGCUGGGCCGGAGCGCGUCCUUCCGCGACGUCCUCUUCUCCGAGCGCGGUACCUACAUCCUCGAGAGCGUGUCCCUGGUGGCGCUCAUCCUCUUCCUCUUCUCCAUGGGCGUCAAGACCGACCUCAGCCUCCUCCGCCGCCCCAGCGGCCGCGCCGUCGCUGUCGGCAUCAUGGGCGCCGUCGUCCCGCUCGCCGUCACCCUGCCCGUCUUCCACGCGCUCCAGCCCACGCUUCCCGAGGACCUGCGGGGCUCUUCGCUCAUCACCGAGCUCGCCGUCCGCCUCUCCCUCUCCUCCUUCCCCGUCAUCGCCGACGCGCUCUCCGACCUCGACCUCCUCAACACCGACCUCGGCCGCAUCGCGCUCACGGCGUCGCUCAUCACCGACGUCACCUCCUGGUUCAUCCGCGCCUGCACCGCCGCGGUCAUCCUCAUCGGCGAUGCAAGGUCGCCGGCCUUCACCGCCAAGAUCCUCGCUUCCUUCGUCGCGUUCGUGCUCUUCGUCGGCUUCGUCGCGCGCCCCGUCGGCCGGUACAUCGCGUACAAGCGCACCCCGACGGGGGCGCUCCUCUCCGAGGGCUCCUUCGUGGUGGUGGUCAUCGCGGCGCUGCUGUCGGCGCUGGUGACGGACGCCAUCGGGUUCAAGUACAUGAUCGGGCCCAUGAUGCUGGGGCUGGCGCUCCCCGGCGGCAUGCCCAUCGGCGCCACCAUGACGGAGCGCCUCGACUCCUUCUUCAUCGCGCUCUUCCUCCCCGUCUACAUGGCGCUGUCCGGCUACCGCACCGACCUCGCCGAGGUCACCAAGGCGGAGGCGUCGGAGAAGUGGUGCGCGCUGGAGCUGUUCGUGGCGCUCUGCGUGUCGGGCAAGCUCGUCGGCUGCGUCGCCGCGGGGCUCUUCUUCACCAUGCCGUUCCGCGACGCCGUCGUGCUGGCGCUCAUGCUCAACAUCCGUGGCAUCGUGGAGGUGGCGGCCAUCAACAACUGGGGCGACACCAUGAAGGCGACGGCGGAGCACUACUCGACGCUCACCAUGUCCAUGGUGCUCAUCACCGCCGUGUCCACGCCGCUGAUCAAGCUGCUGUACGACCCGUCGGGGCAGUUCGCGAGGGCGAAGCGGCGGUCGCUGGAGCACGCGCGGCUGAGCGCCGACCUCCGCGUGCUCACCUGCCUCUACAGCGAGGACCACGCGGCGCCGCUGAUCGACCUGCUGGAGGCGACGGGUUCGUCCCGCGACUCGCCCAUGUCGCUCAUCGUGCUCCACCUGACGGAGCUCGUCGGGCGCGCCGCGUCGGUGCUGAAGCCCCACCGGAAGAGCACGAGGUCGUCCAACAGCGGCAACCCGACGCCGUCGGACCGGAUCGUGAACGCGUUCCGUUACUUCGAGCAGCAGGCGGCGCCGGGGGCGGUGACGGUGAGCCCGUACGUGGCGCAGGCGCCCUUCAGCUCGAUGCACCACGACGUGUGCUCGCUGGCGCACAGCCGGAAGGCCAACCUCAUCCUGCUGCCGUUCCACAAGUCCUCCGACGGCGCGCGGAGCACGGCGAACAACGCCAUCCGGUCCAUCAACCGGAGCGUGCUGCAGUACGCGCCCUGCUCCGUCGCCAUCCUCGUGGACCACGGCCUCGCGUCCGGGUCGGCGUGCGCCACCGCCGCCAACAGCCUGCUCCAGCGCGCCGCGCUCUACUUCCUGGGCGGCGCCGACGACCGCGAGGCGCUGGCGUACGCGGCGCGGAUGCCGGAGGCCGGGACCAUGUCGCUGACGGUGGUGCGGUUCAAGCUCCGGAACUGGGUCGGGAUGGGCGGGCAAGACGAGGCGCGGGACGAGGAGCUGCUGCAGGAGUUCUGGGCCAGGCACAGGGACAACGAGCGGGUGGUGUACGUGGAGAAGACGGUGGAGGACGCGGAGGGCACCGCGUCGGUGGUGCGCGCCAUGAGCGAGAAGUUCGACCUGCUCAUCGUGGGGCGGCGUGGCGGGGAGGCCGAAAGCGACCCGGAAGGGUCCACGGCGCUCACCAGCGGGCUGUCGGAGUGGAGCGAGUUCCCGGAGCUGGGGGUGAUGGGGGACAUGCUCGCCUCCGCGGAGUUCGCGUCCAAGGUCUCCAUCCUCGUCAUCCAGCAGCAGCCGCCCAAGAAAACCGUCGCCGCCGCAAGCAACGUCAAUGAUUAGCUUAAUUACAAGGAUCUCCAUCGAUCGUCGUUUUUUUUUUAUUUCCUCUGCUUUCGCUGCUGAAAUUUUGCGAACCUUUUCGCUUGUAUUUGUGAUCAUCAGUUCAUCUGCUAGGACUAGGAAACAUGUUUUAGACGACUGCAUACAAAAGUGUAGAGUGCUACUAAUUUGAACAUCGAUAUAUUAUGUGAUUACAAGUAUAAAUUCAUUUAUGAUACCUCUGAUCAGUUCCUUGUUUACCUUUAAUCAUCCAUACUUAAUACAAAGAUUCAAAAACACAAAUUUGUGAUCUUAGAUUUAUCGUAUAAUGUUUCUUAUCAAGGUUAUGGAAUAUCAUGUCAAUGGAGCGCUAUCUAUAUUAAUUAAGAGUAACUCGCAAGAAUGCUCAAAUCAUGGCCUCUAUUUUUUAUUUGAGGACUCCUAUUUUUAGGGUCUAAUUAUUUUUCAUCUACUCUAGCAUAGCAACCCUCAAAUAGACACUGACACAUGGAACCCACUCAUCAUUCUCUUCCAACAACCCAUAUUCACAGUCGCCCAAUCAUGUGAGCUAUGGCCGGUCAUUGGAGAAGGAAUAGGAAGGGGAGCCGCACUGGUGUGGCGGGUCUCAUGGUGAAGGAUUUCGCCAAGGAGAAGAGCGCCUCACCAGGGAGGAUGGGUUCGUCGGGAGAAGAUGGGUCGAAGAGAGAGGAGCCACUGCCCAGUCGAGCAGCCUUGUUAGGGAGCCACGUCAGAGGUUGCCACGAGGAGGUAGAGAGGGAGGUUGCUAGGGAAGGGAGCCAUGUUGGGGACUUCAGAGGAGGCAACACGGGUUGGGUGUGGAGACGUGGAACGCGAUUCCUCGCGCGUGCAUAUUGUUGGAGUCAUUUUGAAGUUAUGGUUUUAUAUGAACUCUCAAAUUUUGGUUUUAGGAACUUGUUUGAGGCCCUGUUGUAGUUGCUCUAUGUCUCUUGUAUCCAUCUUGCAAGCGCCGCCGACCCAAGUCGGCCUCCGCCAAUUCGGUGUUGGCACAUUCCUGACCCGUCUAAAUCCUACAAUCAAACACGAGGAAGAUGAACAGCAGCGUCAUGGGCCCACCUUGUGGUGACUAUUGCACAUAUAGCAUUUUUGCUUAUUUUGGGCAUUCCAAAUUGUUUUUUGAGCUUUAAGAAAUGGUGUUUGAUAACGUAAACACUACCUAUCUAUUCUUUUGAAGGCACAUGAGAGAGAGAGAGAGAGUUAUUUUAGUGAGAAAUCCUUAGUGAAUUUGUAGCAUGCAUCUAUUACUGUUGAAGCAAAAUUUUGGCGCCUUUGAAUCUAGUAUCUCGUCAUCACGUAGAUACUAAGGCCUUGUUUACUUCCAUCCAAAAUACAAAAACUUUUCAAGAUUCUCCGUCACAUCGAAUCUUUAGACGCAUGUAUGGAGUAUUAAAUAUAAAUGAAAAUAAAAACUAAUUGCACAGUUUGGUUGAAAUUUACGAGACGAAUCUUUUAAGCCUAGUUAGUGUAUGAUUGGACAAUAAUUACCAAAAACAAACGAAAGUGGUACAGUGUCGCGAAAAAAUUUUGGAAAGGAACUAAACAUUGUUUAGUUCACCCCGAAAUUCAAAAAUUUUUCAAGAUUCCUCGUCACAUCAAAUCUUGUGGCAUAUGCAUGAAGCAUUAAAUAUAAAAGAAAACAAAAACUAAUUGCACAGUUUGUCUGUAAUUUACAAGAUGAAUCUUUUAAGCUUAGUUAGUUUAUGAUUGGACAAUAUUUGCCACAAACAAACGAAAAUGCUACAUUAUUAAAAUCUGAAAUCUUUUCGGAACUAAACAAGGCCUAUAUACAACGUAAUGACAGUAUUUCCUGAAAAAAAACACACGAGACUGAAUGGUCGUCUCAAGUCAAUCCGAUCAUUCUCCUAGAUGAAGGUCUACGGCCUAGUCUUGCACUCUUGCUUCUUUUUCUUGUCCACUUGUACUAAGCCGGUCCCACCAGCCACCACCAACUUCCUCUUCACCUUCCCUCGCUUCAGCCAGCUUUAACUUUAGAAAUGAAGUGGAUGAAGCAGCAGCAGCACCUUUGCAGAGAGUGACCGCGAAGAAGAGGAUCAGAGAGAAAGGUUGAAGAAGGCAGGGAUCCAUGGAAAACAUCCUCAGGUGCUUCACGGGGGGCAACAACCAUGGUGACGAUUACUAUCCCCACUAUCAUCCAACCUCCAAGCCCAGCAUCGGGCUACAGGCGGCCGACUGGGGCUCUCCGCCUCGUGUGCAGCCUGACCAUCACCAGCUAGGUCGCCAUGGCGGCGUCGCCUCCGGACCUGCUCAACUUCGAAUCCACAUCCAUGGUAACAUAUGCACUGUUAUCCUCUCCCUUCCGUCACUGAUUCCCUUGUGUCUGCUUGUUUAUCUUCAUUUUGCCAUUUAUUCAGUUACUGUAAGUCCAAGACAGUACUUUUUUUUGGGUAGAAAGUCCCUGAUAAACAUAUAUAAUUGCAAAAGAAAAAUUCACAUAUAUAUUCAUUAAAAGUUCAGUUUGAAGAUCCGAGGUUAAUUAACUAGUCAUAUCCGUGAGAGUAAGUAUAUAGCAAUGCAAUGUCUACCCGCAUGCACAGCAUGGUCAUCUUCUGACAAGUUGAGCAUGUGUUAUAUAUUUUGACAAAUAAUGGAAUAUAUGGAGAGCUCUGUACUGUAAGCAAUUAAAUAAUCAUGCCUUGAUCAAAUUUGCUUGUGCUCUAUAAAGCCUCUCCUGAUCAAGAGUUCACUAGUUCAGGAUUUAUUUUCACUUGCAUGAUCUCUGUAUUCAGCUUCAUAGCAUGAUGCGAGUUUUUUUUGGGGGGAAGGAACAAAUUAAUUGCUAAUCAACAUACCUCCAAUUUUGUUUUAACUUGACCCAUUUGAUUUAUGAUUCUUUGAGCAAUUGGAUAGUUGGAUGGACAUGUACAUUAGCAAUGCUGAACUGCAGCAGUAAAGCGACAUUGCAACUACUAGCAUAUUUUAUUUAAACACUUGCAGAAUUUAAUUAGAUUGUGAUGAUUUAUUCUCAAUUUCACAGCCUUCUUUUCCCAAAAUUCCGCGACAUGUUUUCAAGUGAUGAGAUACAAUAAAUAAAUUUUAUUUGUUACACUUUCAGGUACCUGAAGCGCUCAGAAAUAAUGUUACAUCAUCCAAGAAAGCCCAGGUUAAAUGGUAGGGAGCACUUUCAAAAAAGCUCAUACACUUGAUGAUUUGUUUUUAAUAAUCAGUACAUUUGGUGUACCUAAUUAAUGAUGUCAAUGUUGCUUUAAUUCCUCCCCUAGUUCAGUAGAGUCAAGGACUAAAGGCAUGACAGUAGGACUGUAGUAGUGUGGAAAGGUAAAAAGGACCCUCAAUGAAAUGUUGUUUGUCCAUACUUAUCCAAACAUAGAACAAAGCCAUGCUCGGACAUGGAGAAGUAAAAUAAGCACAACAAACUCAUUGAAGAACUUGAAUGUCUUUAAGACAAACAAAACUUAUGACUAAUUUGAUCUUCAAAUUUACACAAUGCUGGUAGGUACCGGAAUAUUUUGGAGGCAUAUAAGAACUCCAGUCCCCCACCGAAAACACCAGCAGAGGCCGCCUGACUAGUUGCAGCAGCUUUAAGCAGGAUUCAGAGAGCUGAUUUGGAGGUAACCUUACUUUUCCUGCCCUUUUACUUAAAUAAUUGUAGGGACCAUACAAGACGAAUGCAUUGAUUAGCAAUGAUAUAUAUUUAAAAUGCUUGUACAUGUAAACUAACAAACCUAUUUUUAUAAACUAGAGUACAUCCAAACCCGCUUGCAUCCCUACAUAGUAGUCCUCUGUUCAUUCGUACAAGGCGCAGUUUAACUGUUCAAGUUAACCUUUGACCAAUAAUUAGUCCAGUGGUAUAUGAGGUAUAUACCAUAAAAUCGGUACCAUUGGAUUCAUAUUUCCAAGCACUUGAUGAUGAUUAUUUAUAACUACUAAUAAAAUAUGACAAGAAAAUUACAGCCAAAGAUUGAUUUUGCUUUGUGAAACUAUACCUUAUAAAAGAAUGGAGUAACAUUGGACAAAGAUUAGAAACCCACAAGUUUUACUACAAUUUGCAUUACACUAUUAGUAUUACUAAUGGUUAUGUUCAGCUCAUCCUAUCCAAAAACAAUGUUUUCUUCUCUCAGGGUAUUCUUGCAUUUUACAACCUCCCAAUCCCAUCAUUCUCUUCAGCAUCAACAUCCUCGGACCACCAACCAUCCUCACUACCAGAGGGCAUACAGUUUGUGCUGAACACUUUGCCGGUCAGAUAUGAUAAACCAUUGCAAACAAAACCCUUAACCAACGAUGUCAUAUUUUGAACAAUGUGUUACCUCAACUAUUAUUAGGUUCACAACAAGUCCAUUGGAGAUGGCGAUGGCUUUACUGCCUAUGUUGACACGGCAGACCCGAGGGAGUCUGCGAAUGUGCCACUAGAAGUCCAUGAGAUGGUGAUUGAAAGGACUCAAGCACGCAUUGAUAGGGAUUACCAGAUGGCCGAUGCUCUUCUUAGGAGCCUCAACGAAGCAGGAUAUAAGUACUCAAACUGAACCUUCACAAUCCUUUACAUGUCAUAAAUGCAUAAAUUAUUUGAAAUAUAUUUAUGAUUUAAAGUUUAGAUAUACUCAGUUCCUUGGAUAAUAAACUAGAUCUCAUUAGUUAAUGUUGUGAUGUUUUAGCAAUGCAGAAGUUUAUUAAGUAAUCGGGAAAAUAUCAUUAACAUAUCUCAUGGGAAAACAAAUUUUGAUAUAAUUGCUUUUUAUGGAAUCGCUUAAAGCAAAACUUACUAAGAAUUUUGAUGAGUAGGAUAAUAACCAUUUUAGGAGAAGAGAUACUUGCAAACAAAUACAGAAUCAGAAUGAGGUGAGUGUUUCUCCAAAUUGAACUUGUGAUUUCAAUAAUAACUAGGAAUAUUGUUCUCAAGUGCAUGUUCUUUUAUUUCAUGACUUGAAGGGGCGUUGAUGCACCAGAGCUUAAAAUGGCUAGUGGAAAGGAAUCGAGGAAUGCAUUGGUGAAGCUAAUUGGAGGGAAAAGGGUCACAAUUUAUGUGUAUGGACAGGACCAGUUGGGCGUUAUGUGGUGAUAUAUAUUGUGAUAAUGUGUUCAUCCAGGUGAAAAAAAUAAACUAUGUUCACACAAACUAUGGUUUUACGGCUUCAAUUAUGACAUGAUCAAUGUGUGUCUGGACUCUCGAGUCUUUCAGGAGCAAAUGCUAAAGAGUGGUCAUGUAUGGCAUUUCAAGAAUUAUGAUAAACGCCCAGAGUUUGCACAGGUAAGAUAUUCCAUUGUACCUAAAAUGCAUUUAUGAAACAUCCCAAAUUGUACUAUGAGAAAGCCUGAGAACGUAUUCUUUUAGACGUGAACAUCCUUGAGCUAUGUCAUUUGUCAUUUAAUUUUAAGGGCACAUUUGUUGAUCUGAACAAAAAUUCGAGUUAUGGUUGCAUUAAACCAUCCAAAUAUGUGCUCCUAGAAGUUUUUCACUAGCACUAUGAUAUUUUGCAGUGGGAGAGAGAGGCAAGAGCUGCACGUCGAGGACUUUUUGCAUCAGAGAACCCUGAGAAGCCAUGGGACUGGAGAAGACACCAACGCAAUGCGAACAUUCCAGUCUACUGAUGGAACUGAACCAUGAGUUUACAACUUUGUACAAUCGCUACACAUGAAUUCGUAUCAAAAACCAAAGGCAGUGUAUUAUAUUGUACAUGUAUGUGGAAGAUAAAGUAUUGUGAAUUAGUAUCAUACGUUCAAUAUUGGAGCUCUUGCGUUCUUAUCCCUGUUAUGAACAUUACUACAGAAAGAAUUUUAGGAGACAUGUCCCCUAAUUAAUAGAGGCAUGCAUUUUUGGGAGCAACCUCUAAAUGGCUAGGCAAAUCUUAGGAAAAUGCCAGUCUCUUUUAAUCAUUUACACAAACAAAGCAUAUCUAAUAGAGAGUUAGAUGGUAUAUGAUUCGUUGGCAAAGACCUUACGAGCGGUCUGCACACCACUCCUCAAAUGCAUCGCUCAUCAAUAAGGUAUUUAUCUACCGCGCGGGAGAUCCAUAGUGGAGUGUAUGGAUCUCAUAGUUGUCCUACAGCACUAGUCAGGAAAGCAUUAAAGCCUCAUACCGCAACUAAAACUACUACGGCACGUGGGCCGCCGUGUCCACCCCAACGCAAGGGAAAGCAAACUAAAAUUAACAAAAGAAGGUCUCAAAGUCAGAGACGCUACACCAAAGAAGAAACUACUCUUCAUGUCAUGUCAGAUCUAUUGCAUGUUGGUACUGUAUAAUGUCAUCUUUGCAAAGAAGCGCUACUUAACUUGCUUGUAGGGAUGUUUGUUGGAACGUUCUUCUAUUUCAUUCCUUCCAAAUGUUCCACCAAAAAAAGAUCAUGAUACCGUCUAUCCUCCUCUUUUAUAACUUAUCGAAUUUAGUUCGGCAUUUAUGCCAAUAUCUGUGGAUUGACCCUGUCGUGUCAACCGAAUCUAGCACCGAAGAUGCAGCCACUGUUUGAGGUUGGACCAAACUUGUUGGGUGAAUGGAUAGUCUUUACACAAAUGGGUUAGAGUUUCUGGGUCAAUACCACAUAGUUUGCAAAUUGGGUCAUUGGACCAAUUGCCCUUUGUCAGAUUAUCAGCCAUCAGGAUCUUCUUGUGUAAAAACGUCCAUGCAAAGAAACAGCAUUUUGGUUCCGCUCUUGCUCUCCAAAUUGGCAUUAGCUUUAGCUUGCUAUAGGAGCCCUCAAACUGUAUCUGGUAAGGGCUUUUGGACUAGGAAACAUGUUUUAGACGACUGCAUACAAAAGUGUAGAGUGUUACUAAUUUGAACUUCUAUUAUGUGAUUGCAAGUAUAAAUUCAUUUAUGAUACCUAUGAUCAGUUCCUUGUUUACCUUUAAUCAUCAAUACUUGAUUUUUUAUACAAAGAUUCAAAAACACAAAUUUGUGCUCUUUGGUUUAUCGUAUAACGUUUCUUAUCAAGGCUAUGGAAUAUAAUGUCAAUGGAGCACUAUCUAUAUUAAUUAAGAGUAACUCGCAAGAAUGCUCAAAUCAUGGCCUCUAUUUUUUAUUUGAGGACUCCUAUUUUUAAGGGUCUAAUUAUUUUUCAUCUACUCCAGCAUAGCAGCUCUCAAAUAGACACUAACACAUGGAACCCGUUCGUCAUUCUCUUCCAACAAAGGAUAGGGAGGGGAGUUGCACUAGUGUGUGGCGGGUCUCAUGGUGAAAGGGUUCGCCAGGGAGAGGAGGGCCUUGCUAGGGAGGACGGGUUCAUCGGGAGAAGAUGGGUCGGAGAGAUAGGAGCCACUACCAAGUCGAGCAGCCUUGUUAGGUCGCCACAUCACAGGUCGCCACGAGGAGGGGGAGAGGGAGGUCACUAGGGAAGGGAGCCAUGCUGGGGACGCAGCACGAGUUGGGUGCGGAGAAGCAGGACACGAUUCCUUGCAUGUGCACACUGUAGGAAUCAUUUUGAAGCUGUGCUUUUAUAUGAACUCUUAAAUUUUGGUUUUAGAAACCUAUUUGAGGCCUUAUUGUAGUUGCUCUAAGUCUCUAUUGUAUCCAUCCUGGCAGCGCCACCGACCCAAGUCGGCCUCUGCCAACUUGGUGUUGGCGCAACCAGAUGUCUCACUAUUGCCUACCACUGUCAUUCCUAACCUAUUUCUAAAUCCUACAAUCAAACACGAGGAAGAUGAACAACAUCGUCAUGGGCCCACCUGGUGGUGACUAUUGCAGUUGCAUAUACCACAUAUCGCAUUUUUGCUUAUUUUGGGCUUUCCAAAUUGUUUUUUGAUGUUUAAGAAAUGGUGUGUUUGAUAAUGCAAACACUAUCUAUCUAUUCUUCUGAAGGCACAUAAGAGAGAAUUAUUGUAGUGAGAAAUUAUUAGUGAUUUUGUAGCAUCUAUUACUGUUGAAGCAAAAUUUUGUGACGCCUUUGAAUCUAGUAUCUUGUCAUCACGUAGAUACAAGUAUAUAUACAACGUAAUGACAAUAUUUCCUGAAAAAAAGCACACAGGACUGAAUGGUCGUCUCAAGUCAAUCCGACCAUUCUCCUAGAUGAUGGUCUACGGCCUAGUCUUGCUUCCUUUUCUUGUCCACUUGUACUAUGCCGGUCCCACCGGCCACCACCAACUUCCUCUUCACCUUCCCUCGCUUCAGCCAGCUUUAACUUUAGAAAUGAAGUGGAUGAAGCAGCAGCUUUGCAGAAAGUGACCACGAAUAAGAGGAUCGGAGAGAGGUUGAAGAAGGCAGGGAUCCAUGGGAAACAUCCUCAGGUGCUUCACAGGGGGGCAACAACCAUGGUGACGAUCACUAUCCUCACUAUCAUCCAACCUCCGAGCCCAGCAUCGGGCUACAGGCGGCCGACUCGGGCUCUCCGCCUCGUUUCCAGCCUGACCAUCACCAGCUAGGUCGCCAUGGCGGCAUCGCCUCCCUGGUUCAGGACCUGCUCAACUUCGAAUCCACAUCCAUGGUAACAUAUGCACUGUUAUCAUCUCCCUUCCGUCGCUGAUUUCCUUGUGUCUCUAAAGAACACAAGACGACUCAAGAAAUAAUGGCCAUCAAGUCAGUAGCCACCCGCACUGAACAAUGGUCUUAAGGCCUCCUACUCUUGUUUCACUUUCUUGUCCAUCACUUACCGCUCAUUUUUUUAAUAAUAGAAUUAAGAGCAACUCCAGCCCACAUCCUACACAAGUCCCUAUUCUAAAUCUAGGGAUGAUCCAAAAAAAUCAACUCCAACCCACCUUCUACUUAGGCUCCUAUUUUUCAUGCCCUCCCAAAUUAUAGUUUCAGCCCCUCACAUCAAGAACCCCUAUCCAGUGGGUCCCACCCACCUUCCUCUCCCCACCCAUAAAUCAAGACAAGAAUUACAAAUGGUGGAGUUAAUGUAGGAUUUGUCAAUGACAGCCCAUGUGAGAUAAGAGGACUUGGUCUUUUUUUUCCAUUGGAGUUGGGUCUUAAUUUGAGUCCUUAUUUUUUUUAUUAUAGCCUGUAAAUAAAAAUUUAAAGUCUUAAUUUAGGGACUUGGGCUGGAGUUGCUCUAAGGUUCCGGCUUCAGCCCUCUUCAAAAAAAAGAGGCAUCAGUUCACACUUAUUAUAAAUAAAAAAUGAUGUACAUACCCAGAAGUUCCAAGUUUAAGAAUCUAAAAAAUAAAAGGCCAUUCAUGUGAGUUGAAGAAGUGUAGUGCCCUCCACUCUAGUAGACGACCUGCCUGCAUCAUAGCCCCCGUUUGGUCCUCAAUAUGCUGCAACCGAGCCCAAAACCGAAGUCAAUAUGUUGCCUUAAAUAAGACGCACACAAAUGAUUUUGGUGUUAAUUAAGGAUGGGGACGGUGCUCCAAACGGGUACCCGCGGUUCUUCUCUAGUGUAACUAAAUUAACUAAAUGAAAAAAUUGAGAGAAAAAUUGUCUAUUUAGUUAAUUAAAUUAUACUAGAGAAGAACCACGGGUAUCCAUUUGGAGGGUCAUCUCCAUCUUUAGUGUUAAUAAUUCCUAGUGAGCCAUAUUGACCAAUUAUUAGUAAUGGUGAGUUUUGUUUUAGACCACCUUGUUUUGAGUUUUGACCAAUUAUUGAAUAAGUCUUCAAAAUUAGCCGGUGGUCGAAUACCCAAAACUAUAAAAGUGCCACGCUAAAGAAAUUUAGCAUAAUAACAUUGAAAGAACAAAUGACGAAUAGAUUCCAACUCAAAGCAAAAUUCACAAGUUUUCCUACCUUGCCAAUUCCUCUAGCUAGAUUGCCUUUUGUUAAGAUGAAUCUCUUGUUUAGAUACCACAUAAAUAAUUUUAUCAGAAGGUGCGGAUACAUUGAUGAGGCUUUUGCCUUUUGGGCUGAGCUGAAGAUGAGUUGGGCUGAGCUGCUCCUUGUAUUUGUGGCUCAGGAAGGGAAGCGUUGCAGCCCACACACGAGAGUUUUAUGUCCCAGUUUUGAACAUAUCUUAUUUUGAAAAACAGUGUAUAAGAGUCUCAUUCCCAUAAAACACUCUUUGUUUCUAUAAAACUCUUAUUGUCUCUCACUUCAUUAAUAUGAUGUCAUAUCAGCAUAUUUAAUAUCUAUGAAACUCUGAUAAAAUUAUAUUGAGACUAGACUGGGCCUUGUUUACUUCCAAAAUUUUUUGCAAAAUAGGAAUAGUAGCACUUUCGUUUGUAUUUGACAAAUAUUGUCCAAUUAUGGACUUACUAGGCUCAAAAGAUUCGUCUCGUCAAUUCCGACCAAACUGUGCAAUUAGUUUUUAUUUUCAUCUAUAUUUAAUACUCCAUGCAUACAUCUAAAGAUUCGAUGUGACAGGAAAUCUGAAAAAUUUUGCAAAAUUUUUCGGGAACUAAACAAGGCCUAGAGAACAACCAAGGACGGUCCAACCAGCAGCAUCUCUUCACCUCUGGCAGCUUUUAGAAGUGAAGUGGAGGAAGCAGGUGCUUCGCAGAGAGUGACAAGUCCCCACAGGAGAGAGAGAGAGAGAGAGCUCGAAUCGAAGAAGGAAGGCAGGGGAACGAUCGAAGGGAAGGGAUCCAUCGUCUCCAUGGGAAACAUCAUCAGGUGCCUCACGGGAAGAGACCAUGGCCAUGGUGAUGAUGAUGAUUACUACCCCUACUACCGUGCAGCGAGCACAGCCUCGAGGCCCCGCUACGAGCUGCAGGCCGGCGGGUGGGAGGACGACGAUGAACCUGCAGCAGCCUUUUGGCCUCGCCAGCAGUCUCUAGGUCCCAUCCAUGGAGGCGUCAGCGUCACGCCGGCGGCCACCGCCGCCUCCCUGGCCCAGGACCUGCAGCUCAACAUGGAAUCCACGUCCAUGGUAAACAUGCAACCCACCACGCCUGUAUACUUGCUUUCAGUACAUUAUAUUACUAGUGAAUUUUCCAUGUGAUAUUAUGAAUGAAAUGGAUGUCAACUUGCAAACAUGCACCGUAUGCACUGUGUAAUUCUCAAAAGAGAGAGAGAGAGAGAGAGAGAGAGAGAGAGAGCCAACCUAUGCAAAAUUGUGUUUUCUAAUCUAGGGUUAUUUUGGUCUGCUAGCUAGGAGGAGAAGUUUUUUUUAACAACUAGAAGAAGAAGGUUAGUUUCCUGCGUGAUGUCCGCUUGUGUUAUUUUUUUUUAUGCAAACAUGACUAGUUUACCUCGCUCUUGCAACUUCUGUGAACAUUUGCCUUUUCUACUCUUCUUCUUCAGAAUAAAGUGAUGAACAUAAAUACAUAAUACUCUACACUCUAAACUUUGCCUUGACACAGUUUAAUUGUUUUGUUUUACACAUGAUGUACAUCAGCUGCAAAUCUCAAGUUGCUAAGAUGAGCACUUUUCAUGCUACAUUUUAUCCACUGAGUAAGUUCUGCAGAGCAGACGUUGUAAAUCAAACAUUGGAUCUUAAUUUGCUUUCACAUCUUUUUAGGCCAAGUUUCAUAUUUCUGAUCUCUAUUUUCGUUGACGUGCUGAUGGAUAUGGCAGCCAAUGAAUCAAUAAUAUCUAAUAUGCUGCAGCACUAGGGAUAUUGUGACUGCUAGAAUAUUACUGUAUGGAAACAGUUGCAAAUCUUUAGAUUUUGAUAGCAUGUCAUGAAAUUAGAAUAAUUUCCUUUACCCCCAAUUUCCCCCCUGCUUUUCCUGUAAUGAGAUUUGCAUAACAAAGGGAAAGACUAACAUAACAAAGGGAAUUUUGUUUUGUCUCUGUCAUCUUUUCAGAUUCCUGAAGGGUUCAAACGGCAUGUCACAUCAUCCAAAAAAGCACAAACUAAUUGGUAGGGAGCAAACUUUUGAAAAGCUUAUAUAUGCAGCUGAUCGUUUUUCUAAUAUUUCACAUUGAUUCUGUGUACGUACUGAUAGGAAAUAUGCUUCCAUUCCCCCCUCAUAAUUAUUCGAUUCAGUUAAUCUUUACCAGAGCACCCAAAAAAAAGAGUUCCAGUACGGAGUUGGAUUUUAUAAGUUGGGAGUCGUUUUCAAGGAAUCACUCAAAUGCUUUAACUUUGGUAUUUUUUAUGACACAAGGACCUCCAAACUUAUCAAAUAUAACACAGAUGGGCAAAGCUUUUGCUUGCUUAAUUCUAACAGAAAGGUACCAACAAACAAUGGGCGGAAGAAAAUACUUUCAGUCCAAAUAUACAUCAGCUUUGCUAAGACAUUAACUUCUUUGAAAUGUGCACUAGUUUUAUUUGAGCUGCGCACUACCUUGAUUCAGUUUUACGUGUGGUGUCGGACAUCAACAAGGUUUCUAAUAACGUAUUUGAACAUUGAUUUUUCUAGUUAUAUGCUAGCAAACUUAUUUGAAAAUAUAAUAUACCAUAGUAAACUUGAUAAGAAAUCUAACUGGUAUAGUUUUCCCUUUUCAAGCGACGUAUCCAAUCCAAAUAUUUGUUGCUUCUGUGGUGACAACCUAAAAAAGGUUAACAACACGCAUACUAGAUGUCAAGUAAUAAGAAAGCGUGUGUGUAGCAUAUAAUUAACAUCUUUCCUUUCUAAUGUAUAAGAUGGUUUCUGAGACAAGCAGAAUCAAUACAACUUGUAUUUCAAAUUGAAAAACUAAAAUAAUUGAUUGCAUUAUAUCUCUCUAUUUGCACCCAAAAAAAACAGGUACAAGGACAUGGCAGAGGCAUACAAGGAUAUGAAAACCCCACAAAAAACACAAGCUGAAACUGCCCUUACCAGGAUCCAGAGAGCAGAUUUGGAGGUAUAUCUAUCUGUAUGACUAAGAUUAGACCACUGAGGUAUAUCUAUCUGUAUGACUAGAUUAGACCACUGAAAACUGGUCGUGGCAGGAACCUUACCAGCACUUGCUUUUUUAGCAUUUUAUCAAAUUAUAUGUUUGACUCAUUCCAUUGAGAAGCAAUUCUUUCCCGACACCUCAAAGCGCAAAAGUUAUUGUUCUCACCAAUGGCUAUAGAUGUUUGACUCAUUUUUACUGUAAUGCUGUUUUCUCAGGAUAUAUUUUCAUUUCACAAUCUGCCGACCGCAUCACUCCCUCUACCAGACUCAAACCAUCACCGGACACCGCCACCAGAGGAUGUGCAGUUUGUGCUGAAUACUUUGCCGGUCAGAUUUAUAUACAUAUGUUUAACCACUGCAAAGAAAGGCUUGCUGGCAACACCAAGUUUCUAAACAAUGCCUUGAAUCAACAUUUGCUAAUAAUUUUGCCUCAUCUCUUGCAACUAUUGUCAGGUCCAUAACAAGUGCAUUGGAGAUGGUGAUGGCUUUACCGCUUAUGUUGACACAGCAGACCCAACGGAGUCCGCAGAUGUGCCACGGGAAGUGCAUGAGAUGGUGAUUGCAAUAACUCAAGCACGCACUGAUAGGGAUUAUCAGACAGCUAAUGCUCUUCAAAGAAGCCUUGACAAAGCUGGAUAUAAGUACUCUAACUGAGCUUGAUAAUCCCUAUAUAUCAUAAAUUUAUUUAGCACAGUACUUAUUUUGUUUCAAAUUUGAGUAGAAGUUGGAUAAAAUACUACUAGAACUGCUAUUGUAGAUUACUUUCGAAUUUUUUAUAGAUCAUAAGCUCGUAAAAACUACAGAAUUAAAUGCAAGACACAGUACCAUUCAGGUUUACUGAUGGAGCUUAAUUCAAAAAAAUUACGAUAAUAGCAUAUCUAAAAAAAAUGAUUGGAAUCAUGCACUAUGCAGUUUACGCAAAUGAAGUGUUGCAAACCAAAAAGAAAAAAGAAAGAAGAAGAGCUACAAUAUGAUGAAAAUGCUGGCCAC
rnacentral:lncRNA from 1 species